rnacentral:lncRNA from 1 species
CCUGUUUCUUGUCAUCGCAACUCCUCUCAAACAACACAACAGAAUUUCACGAAACCUUUUCAGAUAAUAAGGACAUGCUAUGUAGUUGUGCAUAUCGACGGGAAAUUGCGAUUCAAUUUUUUUCUAGGAGUUACGCCCCUUUGAACUUAUUUACUUUAAUGUACUACUGCAACAGUUUGUCAUCGCAACUCCUCUCAAACCACACUACAGAAUUUCACGAAACCUUUUCAGAUAAUAAGGACAAACUAUGUAGUUGUGCAUAUCGACGGGAAAUUGCGAUUCAAUUUUUUUUCUAGGAGUUACGCCCCUUUGAACUUAUUUACUUUAAUGUACUACUGCAACAGUUUGUCAUUGCAACUCCUCUCAAACCACAC